rnacentral:misc_RNA from 1 species
GUACUCUCACGCUUUGGAUCCUUUGGAUUUGGAGUGGUGGACUUGGGUGUUGCUGCUUUGCAGCGGCUCACCCCAAAUGCAUGCGUGCAACUCCUGGUUGGACAUAGUACGGCGUGAUAAGUGUCUUCGCCGGCACCUCGCAAGAGGGUGGCUGAUCGGGAGCUCUGUGCUUUCGAACCGUCCUUGGACAAUGACUGACA